AAAAAAAAAAUCUUCUGUCACGAUUCCUAGAAUAAAAAACCUAUGCAGAUCAAAUUUCAACUUAGUAAUAAAAACGGAGGGUCUACGGGCACAGAAUGUUAAACAAUGUCAAAACAAAUUCAGAAGGAAAACAUCCUAUUUAAUAGAAGUGAUGAUAAAUUUGAUCCAAGAGUUCUGAUUAUAUUAGCCUGCAGGCUACAGCUGGAGAUGGUACUUGAAAAAUCUUCUCAAAUGGGGACACACCAGCUAACAUAAAUAAGCCCAAAUGUCCGCUUUUUAAUAAUUG
rnacentral:misc_RNA from 1 species